CGCGGCGUGGGCCGGGCCGGGGGCAGAAGGGAGAAGUUGGCGGCGGCGGCGGCGGGGGCAGCGCGGAGCGGCGGGGGCAGGUAACAAAUCUGUACCCAAAAACGAAGGCGCUCUGCUUCUCUUUGAAGAAAUAGCCCCGCGCUGCCCGAUGACUAACUGCUGGAGACCCCACCGGCAGAAAUGGCUCUGCAGGUUGCCCGGUUGCUCUGGCAAGGUUUGUCCCAGUUCCCAUCAGGCAGCACUCGGUAUGAAAACUUGCAGCUUCCCGCUACCUACGAGACCAUCCUGUUCAGCUCCAGUAAGCAAAGGCAAGGGAUUGAAAUGAGGUUGGUUUGUUUUCCGUUUUUUUGAGUUUCUCCAGUAUGUGGGGGAAGCAUACAGCUGAAUUCCUGUUUUUAACAUUCUUUUGGCAUGAUUCAAAACUAACCUGCCGUGCUGUCACCUGAAAUCUUCAAUAAAUGGUGCAAAACCCGUGUUUGGGUGCUCAUUACUCUAACUCAGGGCUCAGCACAGAGCCGAGCAGCUCUGUAAGAUGUAUUCGGUUACCCCGACCAAGCGAAGAGGAAGGCUGUACCUACUCAGUGAAGUACCUGUCUGAUACGUGUCACGUACCUCCCAUCUCUGAUUUUGCCUCUAUAUCAAGAGAAGGCAGUUUGAAAAGGAGGGGGGAAGGUGCCCUUGCGACCUGGCCGUCUCUCAAGCCAAAACCUUCGUGCUGGUGCCUUUGCCCCUGCCCUAGCUCAGGAGCCCUUUCUGAACGUGGAGCCCGCGGAGCCAUGACUGCUCUGAAGAGCGCUCCUGAGCGAUGAGAAAAUACGCCAGGGCUAAGGCGUCCCUUCAUUUAAGUGUUCAGCAGCCAGUAACCAGAUUUGUAAGGUGAUACUUCGGUAACCAGAGCAUCCAGAAGCUAAAAGAUCUUGCUGAGAAAUGAUGCGGUAAGAUUUGGGGGAGAGGCGUGCCUUACAGGUGGGGAAGAUGCUGAAAGUCACGCCUGUUAAGCUGAAGGGACUCUGUGCACCUCAAAGAUUUUGCUCUUCUAUUUCAGCACUUUGCAGAGGGAAGCGAGCAGGUGUAACCUGUCGUGCGCUGGGCUAGGAAGCACCUAGUGUGUUCUGUCAAUAGCGUGCCAGUGGCAAAUCAAAGCUGUGAGUCUCCGAGGGAGCAAGCUGGCCUGUCAGGAAAAGAAGGGCUACAUGAAUUGUUUAAGAGGACGUCGGUUAGUUACAUGGCAAGGUAGAAUGUGCUCGGUCUUUACUGUGAGACACAAAAAGGAAAACCAUCACUGUGAGAACAGACAAUGCUCUGCGUGGACAGACGUGCACACGUGCCAGUUCAGAUAGUUUCUCUUCUCUGGCUUCAGUGAGCUGCCCUUCUAGAAUCUGCACACCCGGGAGCAACAAACAGAGCGUCUGCACAUCAUUCAGAGAGCAAAACCAACAGGCAGUUUCUCCUCCAGUCAUUCACACCUUUCCUUAUGUAACUGGUGCUGAAGCGUGUGCUUUAAAAGCUGCUUGCCAAAUCCAGGGGCUGGGAGGAAGCACAAAUGCUUCUAGCACUCUAGAUGAAUUUCAAAAAAAAAGAAAAAAAAAAGAAAAACCCAACAGGACACCCAAAUCCUGGGGAGCACAUCCAAAUACCCAACUGCUCACGGGAUGUUUCAGGUGGCUGCAGCAGAGUUGUCCUUUGAGAAGCCAGCCCAGUGUGGUGCAGCACCGGUACCCCCAACUACCUUUAGCGGGGAGGAUGCCUGGCUUUGCAAGCAGACACAGUAUGGGGUAGAUGGGUGAGGAACCGAGAAUCAUUUUUGUCAUGCAGCAUUAAAGAAAAAUAAAUGAGGUUUU